CUUUGCACAAAUGUCGGCAUUGGAUCCAGUUUGGAGGACUUAACGGAGUUGGGAAUUAGCAGCAAACGCCACAAUGCCGUCCAAGCCUGCCCCGAUCAAGAAGGCGGCGAAGCCAGCCAAGAAGGCGGAGGCUGCAGAGCCCGCUGCCGCCGAGGCCGCCCCAGCAGAAGCAGCCCCAGCGGAGGCUGCACCGGCCGAAGCCGCCCCGGCCCCUGCUGAGGGCGAGGCUGCACCUGCUGAGGCCGCCGCUGCUCCGCCAGCUGAGGAGCCCAAACCCCCCACCCCUCCACCCGCAGAAGCUGCUCCGCCCGCUGCAGAAGAACCAGCCGCUGACCCUGCUGCUGCGCCCGCUGCAGAGGAAGCACCAGCAGCUGCUGAGGCCCCUGCUGAUGCCGCUGAAGAAGCUCCAGCUGCUGCCGCCGAGGUCCCGGUUGAGGCUGCGGCGCCCGCUACAGACAAAGCAGCAGCCGCCUCUGAGGACCCCGCCGAUGCCGCUGAAGAAGCUCCAGCUGCUGCCGCCGAGGUCCCGGUUGAGGCUGCGGCGCCCGCUACAGACAAAGCAGCAGCCCCCGCUGAGGCCCCCGCCGAUGCUGCGGCGCCCGCUGCAGAGGAAGCCGCCGCCCCCGCUGAGGCCCCUGCUGAUGCUGCUGCCGCUCCUGCCGCAGAAGAAGGUGCUCCCGCUGCUGACGCCGAGGCACCUGCUGAGGCUGAAGCUGCUGAAGCGCCUGCAGAAGAGGUUAGACCCGAAACACCUCCCCCUCCUCCAGAGCCCACAAGCAUCCCUCUGGAUCUGUUUAUUGAGGACAAGAAUGACACUACAGUCACUAUCAUGUGGAGCCAGCCCGAGGUGAUCGGAGACUCUGGCCUGGACGGAUACACCAUUGAAGUCUGCAAGGACGGAACUGAGGACUGGAAAGCUGUCAAUGAGGAUCUGCAGAAGUCCUGCCGCUACGUUAUCAAGAACCAGACCACCGGGGACCGUCUGAAGAUCCGUGUGGUGGCCCUGAACGCCGGCGGCCGCAGCCCCUCCCUCUCCCUCCCCGAGGCCGUGCUGGUGAAGGAGGUCGCUGAUCGUCCCAAGAUCCGCCUGCCGCGCUACCUCAGGCAGAGAUACGUCGCUCAAGUUGGAGAGAAGAUCAACCUGACCAUCCCCUUCUCGGGCAAACCCAAACCUGUGGUCUCCUGGAUGAAGGACGGGCUGCCCCUGGACACCAAGAGGGUGAUGAUCCGCAGCACGGAGAGGGACAGCAUCCUGUUCAUCCGCGUGUCCGAGAGGGACGACUCCGGUGUGUACGAGAUGUGUGUGAAGGUGGACGACUUCGAGGACAAGGCUCAGCUCAUCCUGCAGAUCGUUGAGCUGCCAGGCCCCCCCGCCAGUGUGAAGGUUGCUGAUACCUGGGGCUUCAAUGUUGCUCUGGAAUGGACCGCACCCACAGACAAAGGAAACACAGACAUCACGGGCUACACCGUCCAGAAGUCUGACAAAAAGACCGGAGACUGGUUCACUGUCGUGGAACAUUACCAUAGACUGAAUGCCACCAUCUCUGACCUCAUCAUGGGCAACACCUACAAGUUCAGAGUGUAUUCUGAAAACAAGUGUGGAAUUAGCGAGGAGGCUACAGUUGCGAAGGAGGAAUCCUCAAUCGUGAAGAUUGGUAUUGACUACAAACCUCCCGAGUACAAGGAGCGCGACUUCACCGAGCCGCCCAAGUUCACCACGGCUCUGAACGACAGAGCCACCACCGUCGGCUACAGCACCAAGCUGCUGUGCUCCGUCAGGGGAGUGCCAAGGCCCAAGGUUAUUUGGAUGAAGAACCAGAUGAUUAUUGGAGAGGACCCCAAGUACAGGCAGAUCUGCGUCCAGGGUAUCUGUUCUCUGGAGAUCCGUAAGCCUGGUAACUAUGACGGUGGCGUGUACACCUGCAAAGCCAAGAACACUCACGGAGAGGCCAUUGUCAGCUGCAAGCUGGAGGUCAAACAGAUCCCGGUUCCAGAUGCAGAGAAGCAAUAAGUCAACAUUCACAUUCUCACAGAAGCAUAAGGAAUGAGGCCUUUGCAGCAUAAGGAAGGUGCUGGAUUACUGGAAGAACAUGUAUAUAUGGCCGGUGACCACACUAUCGAAGGGUUGUUGCCUGUGACCUCUUGCCGAGUGUUACCCUGUGUUAUGAUGAACAAUUGUGUCACUUUAUGCCUUCAUCGUUCUCUACAUUAUUAAGUCCACAUCCAUGUCCACAGUCUGCUUUUCCCCAACGAUGCUGUCUACGGUAACUACUGUAAAUGAUCUUCUUGUCAGUCUAACUAGGUGUACACCAAGACUUGUUAGGAGAACUACAUUUAACAUCUACGUGUUUAUAUCAAUAAAUAAUUGUAUUUCUGGU